rnacentral:rRNA from 1 species
GACGUAGGAGGCGAGCGUUGUCCGGAUUCAUUGGGCGUAAAGGGCGCGUAGGCGGCCCGCUAAGUCGAACGUGAAAUCCCCAGGCUCAACCUGGGAACUGCGUCCGAUACUGGCAGGCUUGAAUCCGGGAGAGGGAUGUGGAAUUCCAGGUGUAGCGGUGAAAUGCGUAGAUAUCUGGAGGAACACCGGUGGCGAAGGCGGCAUCCUGGACCGGUAUUGACGCUGAGGCGCGAAAGCUAGGGGAGCAAACGGG